UAUUCUACGGGAGGCAGCAGGGGGGGAUAUUGAACAAUGGAGGAAACUCUGAUGCAGCGACGCCGCGUGAAGGAAGACGGUCUUCGGAUUGUAAACCUCUGUCUUUGGGGAAGAAAAUGACGGUACCCAAAGAGGAAGCUCCGGCUAACUACGUGCCAGCAGCCGCGGUAAUACGUAGGGAGCGAGCGUUGUCCGGAAUUACUGGGUGUAAAGGGAGCGUAGGCGGGCGAGAAAGCUGAAUGUUAAAUCUACCGGCUUAACUGGUAGCUGCGUUCAAAACUUCUUGUCUUGAGUGAAGUAGAGGG
rnacentral:rRNA from 1 species